rnacentral:rRNA from 1 species
CCUACGGGUGGCAGCAGUGAGGAAUAUUGGUCAAUGGGCGCAAGCCUGAACCAGCCAAGUCGCGUGAAGGAUGACUGUCCUCGGGUUUUUAAACUCUGUUUAUAAAGGAGUAAAUUGAGGCACGUGUGUCUUCUUGUUUGUACUUUAUCAAUAAAGAUCGGCUAACUACGUGCCAGCAGCCGCGGUAAUACGGAGGAUCCGAGCGUUAUCCGGAUUUAUUGGGUUUAAAGUGACCGUAGAUGGGUUGUUAAGUUAGUUGUGAAAGUUUGCGGCUUAACCGUAAUAUUGCAAUUGAUACUGGCAGUCUUGAGUACAGUUGAGGUAAGCGGAAUUCGUGGUGUAGCGGUGAAAUGCGUAGAUAUAACGAAGAACACCAGUUGCGAAGGCAGCUUACUAAGCUGUAACUGACAUUGAUGCUCGAAAGCGUGGGUAGCAAACAGGAUUAGAUACCCUUGUAGUC